rnacentral:rRNA from 1 species
GACGAACGCUGGCGGCGUGCCUAAUACAUGCAAGUUGAGCGCUGAAGGUUGGUACUUGUACCAACUGGAUGAGCAGCGAACGGGUGAGUAACGCGUGGGGAAUCUGCCUUUGAGCGGGGGACAACAUUUGGAAACGAAUGCUAAUACCGCAUAAAAACUUUAAACACAAGUUUUAAGUUUGAAGGAUGCAAUUGCAUCACUCAAAGAUGAUCCCGCGUUGUAUUAGCUAGUUGGUGAGGUAAAGGCUCACCAAGGCGAUGAUACAUAGCCGACCUGAGAGGGUGAUCGGCCACAUUGGGACUGAGACACGGCCCAAACUCCUACGGGAGGCAGCAGUAGGGAAUCUUCGGCAAUAGACGAAAGUCUGACCGAGCAACGCCGCGUGAGUGAAGAAGGUUUUCGGAUCGUAAAACUCUGUUGGUAGAGAAGAACGUUGGUGAGAGUGGAAAGCUCAUCAAGUGACGGUAACUACCCAGAAAGGGACGGCUAACUACGUG